rnacentral:rRNA from 1 species
CCUACGGGUGGCAGCAGUGAGGAAUAUUGGUCAAUGGGCGCGAGCCUGAACCAGCCAAGUAGCGUGAAGGAUGACGGCCCUACGGGUUGUAAACUUCUUUUAUAAAGGAAUAAAGUGAGACACGUGUGCCUUUUUGUAUGUACUUUAUGAAUGAGGAUCGGCUAACUCCGUGCCAGCAGCCGCGGUAGUACGGAGGAUCCGCGCGUUAGCCGGAUUUAUUAGGUUUAAAGGGAGCGUAGAUGGGUUGUUAAGUCAGUUGUGAAAGUUUGCGGAUCAACCGUGAAAUUGCAAUUGAUACUGGCAGUCUUGAGUACAGUUGAGGUAGGCGGAAUUCGUGGUGUAGCGGUGAAAUGCGUAGAUAUCACGAAGAACUCCGAUUGCGAAGGCAGCUUACUAGACUGCCACUGACGUUGAUGCUCGAAAGUGUGGGUAUCAAACAGGAUUAGAUACCCCUGUAGUC